UUCUCCUUGCCUGACGAAAUAGUUAUGCUCACUUAAAUAAAUAAGUCUUCUUCCACCUUAGUCCUUUAUAAACUGGUUUAAACUCACCUUAUAAUAUGGGCCUGUUAUGUAGACUUCCAGCGUGGGAAAAUUGCAUUGCUUUAAAUCAUUUAAUUUAAGCUAGGUUGAUGCACACCCUUAUUUGGGUAUUGAUUUGAGGCUGAAUUUAGCUUAUUCUUAGCUUUGGUGCAAGCUCUUAUAUUCUAACUGUAUUGUUAUGAAAACAAUACUGAGUUCUUUGAGAGAGUUACCUCAGAUAUUCAGCUUAAAAAGUGUUUUCUUACAACUUUUAUGUUAAGAUCUCCAAGUACUGCUUUUCAUCUGCUGUGUUUCUCAAGUUGUUCUUAGUUUUGUAGACUCACAAUUAUUUCGGUAGGGCCCAGCUUAAUGAUGAGUCACAUCCUGGGUGUCAGUGGUUGUGUGAAUUGAGUAUAUCUGGAGUUGUCUUCUUGGCAUUAAGUUGUUUUUCCUUAAAAAGAAUUCCAAGUGGAUGAACCAGCUUUAAAGAUGUCCCCCUUGCUCUUGUACCACUUUUAACAUCAAAAAUUUGUGUCAUGGAUGUGAAGUGAGGGGUUGUCCUAGUAAGAGGUUGUCAGUGUGUGAGGGGUGGAUCCUGAUAUCAUGUGGAGUACUUUCCAACAAGGAUUUUCUAACUCACCAGGGGCAGAAUUGAAUUGAGGUAUAAGGUGGCUGCAUCAGUGCUUCUGUUGUACUUCCCAUGCCAUCCAACAGGGUCUGACUGUGCAUCAGGAGAACAGGGUAUGUGCCUCACUUGGAUGGGAAUGCCAGGAGGAUGUGCACAGGCAGUCCCAGCAGCUUCCAGGUUGAUACAGUCUUCCUGUUGUGCAGAGCUGGAAGAAAGAAGAGUGUGGACUAUUUGGUCUUGGAAGUUCUGCAUAUGCUUUAAGAAUGCAUAAACUUGCUGUAAAUAGACUACUUAGGCCUUAGCAUUAUAAACU